rnacentral:lncRNA from 1 species
AUUUAAAAAUGCUUUUGCAACCUGACACUGUUCAGCUUUUUUAUCUUUUACCAGUAUUUGGGGACUUAUUGGGGAUUCCUUUGAUAAUUUCAGGAAGAAAGAAGUGGAAUGGAAGGAGCCAGUAACUGUCCCAGGUCAGAAAACGCCUCUGAAAAGGAUCUACAUUACACCCAAAGUUCAUUGGAUAACUGCACCCUCAACAAUCAGGAGACAAUAAGUGGUGUAGACAGAGCUAAUAUCUUCCCCAAAUCAGAUGGUACCUCUGAAGACAUUCAGCAUUCCACAGACUGUUCACAGGUUGAGACUUUCCACAUUCAGGAGACAAUAAGUGGUACGAACCAAGCCAGUAACUGCCCCAAAUCAGAUGGUGCCUCUGAAGACAAUCAGCAUUGCACAGACAGUUCACAGCAUGACAGUAUCUUCCACAUUCAGGAGACAAUAAAGGGUAUGAACCAAGCCAGUAACUGCCCCAAAUCAGAUGGUGCCUCUGAAGACAAUCAGCAUUGCACAGACAGUCCACAGCAUGACAGUAUCUUCCACAUUCAGGAGACAAUAAAGGGUAUGAACCAAGCCAGUAACUGCCCCAAAUCAGAUGGUGCCUCUGAAGACAAUCAGCAUUGCACAGACAGUCCACAGCAUGACAGUAUCUUCCACAUUCAGGAGACAAUAAAGGGUAUGAACCAAGCCAGUAACUGCCCCAAAUCAGAUGGUGCCUCUGAAGACAAUCAGCAUUGCACAGACAGUUCACAGCAUGACAGUAUCUUCCACAUUCAGGAGACAAUAAAGGGUAUGAACCAAGCCAGUAACUGCCCCAAAUCAGAUGGUGCCUCUGAAGACAAUCAGCAUUGCACAGACAGUUCACAGCAUGACAGUAUCUUCCACAUUCAGUGGCUCUUGAUGUAGAACCACCCAUAGAUCCUUCUGCAAAAGAAGUCCAGAAAUCUUCAAUUGAACAAGCAACAGAAAUAACAAGUACCACAACUACCAUGAAAGGUACUGUUUGUUAAACUUCAUAGAAAGCCUUUAUGAACUUAAAAAUCUCUGUUUUUUCUGAUGUGCUUUGUUCAUUCAGGUCGAAAGGUGGUAAAGAAAAAGAAAUGGGACAGUGAUGAAAUGAAUGCAGUUGAAAAGCAUCUAAACAGGUUCAUCAAAACUUGUACAGUGCCAGGAAAACAACAAUGUGAGGCCUGUAUAAAUGCUGAACCUGUUGCCUUGAAAGACAGGGAUUGGUUGUCUGUAAAGUUCUUUGUGAAGAACAAAAUCACUACCCUUAAAAGAAGAAUGUAAAGUCAGUUAUUUUAUUUUGUUUGGUAUCUUAUUUUCUGGUAUUUUAGAUUUCUGGUUAUUACAUUUGUUUUAAAAGGAUCUUAGAAUCUCUUUUUUUUUUUUUUUUGGAAAUGGGUGCAAUUCAGUAAAGUGUCU